rnacentral:misc_RNA from 1 species
GAUGAAGAACGUAGUGAAAUGCGAUAAUUAAUGUGAAUUGCAGAAUUUAGUGAAUCAUCGAAUCUUUGAACGCACAUUGCGCCCCCUGGUAUUCCGGGGGGCAUGCCUGUCCGAGCGUCAUUGCUGCCCUCAAGCACGGCUUGUGUGUUGGGCCUCCGUCCUCCUCCCGGGGGACGGGCCCGAAAGGCAGCGGCGGCACCGCGUCCGGUCCUCGAGCGUAUGGGGCUUCGUCACCCGCUCUUGUAGGCCCGGCCGGCGCUUGCCGACACAUCAAUCUUUUUUCCAGGUUGACCUCGGAUCAGGUAGGGAUACCCGCUGAACUUAAGCAUAUCAAUAAGCGGAGGA